UUUGAACGCUGGCGGCAUGCCUUACACAUGCAAGUCGAACGGUAACAGGUCUUCGGAUGCUGACGAGUGGCGAACGGGUGAGUAAUACAUCGGAACGUGCCCGAUCGUGGGGGAUAACUACUCGAAAGAGUAGCUAAUACCGCAUACGAUCUACGGAUGAAAGCGGGGGAUCUUCGGACCUCGUGCGGACGGAGCGGCCGAUGGCAGAUUAGGUAGUUGGUAGGAUAAAAGCUUACCAAGCCGACGAUCUGUAGCUGGUCGGAGAGGACGACCAGCCACACUGGGACUGAGCCACGGCCCAGACUCCUACGGGAGGCAGCAGUGGGGAAUUUUGGACAAUGGGCGAAAGCCUGAUCCAGCACUGCCGCGUGCAGGAUGACGGCCUUCGGGUUGUAAACUGCUUUUGUACGGAACGAAAAGACUCCUUCUAAUACAGGGGGUCCAUGACGGUACCGUAAGAAUAAGCACCGGCUAACUACGUGCCAGCCGCCGCCGUAA
rnacentral:rRNA from 1 species